GACGUAGGGCGCGAGCGUUGUCCGGAUUUAUUGGGCGUAAAGAGCGUGUAGGCGGCCAGACAGGUCCGUUGUGAAAACUCGAGGCUCAACCUCGAGACGUCGACGGAAACCGUCUGGCUAGAGUCCGGAAGAGGAGUGUGGAAUUCCUGGUGUAGCGGUGAAAUGCGCAGAUAUCAGGAAGAACACCUAUGGCGAAGGCAGCACUCUGGGACGGUACUGACGCUGAGACGCGAAAGCGUGGGGAGCGAACAGG
rnacentral:rRNA from 1 species